ACUCCCAGCUGCCCAGCCUGCAACUAGAGCUCAGCCACUGCAGGUGACAGCAACGGGACCCGCCUUUGAGCCUGAGGCCAGGACUGACGCCACAGCCUGCAGCUCCUCCCCAAGCCCAGCCCCAGCCCUUGCCCUUCAAUCCUGAGACCCUGAGAUGCAUGGGUGGGGCUUUCAUCCGGUGAGGAGCGGAGGCCCAGGGAGGUGGGUUCCCCAGCUGCCAGUACCCACUGGUCAGGCUGGGCUGGACCAGGUCCUGAAUCCCCGCCCUUCCACCCAUGGGCUCCCCAGGAAGGCUAAACUGAGGGAAGAAUUCCUGCUGGGAAAGCCCUGUUCUGGGACCAGGGUUUCGUCCCUCUAUUAGAGGGGGUCAGGGGGACACCUGGGAGCGGAACACCUGAGGGAGGAGCACCUGGCGGGGAGCCUUGGGGGAGGAGGCACCUGGGGGAGGAAGUCUGGAGGAGGGGUCUCCUGGUGGGGGGCCUGGAGGAGGGGUCUCCUGGGGGAGGGGCCUGGAGGAGGGGUCUCCUGGGGGAGGGGCCUGGAGGAGGGGUCUCCUGGGGGAGGGGCCUGGAGGAGGGGUCUCCUGGGGGGGGGCCUGGAGGAGGGGUCUCCUGGGGGAGGGGCCUGGAGGAGGGGUCUCCUGGGGGAGGGGCCCUUGGGGAGCCAACCCUAGUCAGUACGAGGUCCUGGGUGCAAAGUGGGUUGUGCGGCAGGGGGCUUGGGGCCUCAGCGGGGCUGCCCGGAGCUGGUCCUGGGCCUCUCUUGCUCUGGGUCUCCCCUGCUCUGGGUCCAGCCUCCCAAGCACCCCACCUGGCAAGACUUCCUCGCUCAGAACAGAGCCAACCCUGGCUGUCUUCCCAGGGUUUGUCGUGGAGAGGGCUCUGGCCCUUUAGCCUUCCAAGGAGCUUUCGGGGUUGGGGUACGUUUGUGACCCCAGUAGCCGCUGUGCUGGGGGCCCAGGGCAACUCCUCCGGGAGCAGGGAAGGCACUGCUGGCACCACCAGCCCCGCAGGGUCACCAGCAUCCCGUCUCCACCAGGGCUGCUGCUGUCCCUCCUCUGCUGAGGCCAGCUGUUACCGUGUUCGACAUGGACCAGGCCGUGUGGGAGGACACGGGGUGGCAGGUGCAGGGAGCACGGUCUGUUUUCUGUCACUCUCUGGUCCCAGCCUGAGCCCCAAUCCCUACCUCUGAGGGUCACACUUCCAACCCACCCCAGACAGAGCUGGAAGCAGGGGCUGGCAUGGGCGCUGGGGUAGACGCAGGGGUUGUCGUGGCCUGGCGUGGAAGAGCUGGGCUGGACGCAGUGGGUGGCGUGGCCUGGGGUGCUGCUCUCCAGCCUUCUUUCUCUUCUUCCUCUUCCUCUUGUUCUUCAUCUUCCUCCUCUUGCUGCAGAUCCUCCCCCAGGUGGCUCCAUUUCUGCUGGUCCCAUCUCCCGGAGGCCCUGCCCACAACCCCCUGCCCGCCAUCUAGGGGGACCCUGGCGUGGUCCAGGAGAGGGAGUCAAGGCCUGUGUGGGGCUCCUGGGGCUGGAGUCCUGGUCUGCCUUCUGGGGACAGAGACUAGGUCGCCCUGGGCUCCAGCUCUGUGGCCUGGCUGUGUGGGCUGGGCCAGGGCCUCUGCGUCACCUCCUUGCUGGGGGUGCAUACUUUGCAUUACAGCUGGGGAGGCUGAGACCCGGGGGGCCACAGCUGGUUCCUGGACUCCAAAGCCCAGGACCCUUCCAAAUCCUGCCUGGACGGCACCGUGGCCAGGACCCCAGCCAGCACUUCCCUUUUCUGCGAGGGUUUUCUGUUUCUUUGAUUAUAAAAUAACCCCUGUUGGUGGGGGGAAAAAAUUAGCAAAAUAAAGAAAAGCAAAAAAAAAAAAGAAAAUUAGAAUCUCCCGCAGUCUCACACCCUGUGGGCCUUUUGCGUAUUUCUUCCCGGGUGAGUUUUCUGGGCAUUAACAGAUGUUUGCUCUGCAGACCUGGCCUUGUGUCACCCUGGAACUCUGUGCCCAGCUCACCCUUCCGUGGCUUCCUGUGGCCGGGGGCUCCCUCCCCUUCCUGCCCCAGGUCUGAGGUGCCAACGGCUGCCUGUGGCCAGGGGCAUCUCCCCGUGGACACUGAGGGAGGAGCCGCGGCAGGGCUGGGCUCUCCCGCUGGGCUCCCUGCACCCUGCGGCCCCGGCCCCAGCCCCACCCCCAGCCAUGGGAAGGGUGCACUCCGGAGAGGCCGACGCAGAUGGGGCCCUGCCCCUGGCCUGAGCGUGGCCGUCAUCUGCUCAGGAGGGUUAAGCUCCUUUGUGCCCCAAGGAGCUUCAAGCCGAUCAAUACCCGGCUGGAAGUAGGGGGCUGCAGCUGGGGGGGCCCCACCGCCCUGACCCCAGAUGGACUUCCUGCUCCCUGCCCAGCUUCUCUGCGGGGGGAGGUCAGGUCAGUGGGCCUCCUGCUUGGCCUUUGGGGCCACCGCCCCUGGGCUCCAGCUGAGGCUGUCCCAGGGCCGGUCUCCCUUCCCGCCCCCACCCUACAGAGGCGGCCUCACCAGCCAGCCUCUGCCCCAGCAGAGUUAUUUUUAGCCCCAGCCCCGCCUGCUGCUACCACGGGCCUUUUCUCCGCAGAGAGAGGCGGGUGAGGCCUGAGGGCCUCACCCAGGGCAGCCAGUUCCCCAACCACGAAGGGAGGCAGGAGAGCUUCCCUGUGCGGGCAGGCGUCGCUGACCCUCCAAGGGGCAGAGCAGUGGGGGCUUCCUUCCUUCCUGGGUGUGGCUGGGGGGAGGGGGCUGAAGGCCUGGAGCCGGAGGGGCUUGCCCUAGAGCCCCAUAGCCAGGCAGGGGUCAGUGUCCACAGCUGGAGGGGCUGGAGAGGUGAGAGAGAUGGUCCCAAGGGAGCUGGGAGGCCCAGGAGUGGGCCCAGUGCUCAACCCGCUGCCAGGCAGGGACAAGACCUGAGAGAUGAGAGGGCGGCGGGGGUGACCCUCGGAGGGCAGAGGGCGCCAGGACGGAGAGAUGAACGGGGCAGUGGGGUGACCCAUGGAGACCCACAGAGAGCAGAGGGGCACCAGGAUGGGGAGACGGAGGCCAGUGGGGGCUGAGGGGUCCCGGGGGAGGACUGUAAGGAGCCACAUAGUGGCUGCGGUCGGCGUGGCUGGGAGACAGGGGUCCAGGAAGCCCACUGGAAGCUGCCGCCCCGGCUGUAGCUGCAGGGCUCUCUGUGGGAGCCGGGAGCUGGGUGCAGAGCUGCGUCGAGGCUGCCUGAGGCCUGGCAGCCCAGCAGGAGGGGACUUACCCCCACCCCCCCACGGAGGAGAAGGCUCUGGGGCCUGCUGGGUGCAGACGCAGCUGGGAUCUGCUUUGGGGAAGAAAACCUAGGCAGGUCACCGAGGCUCUGCCCAAGCCAACGCCUGUCACCUGUCACCGAGGUGUGGGUGUCUGUCCUCCUCCCAGCCGUCCAUCCCCCUCCCUCCUGGCCCCGCUCCAGCCCGCAGCCCCCAUGGGAGCCCGAGAGAGGACAGUCUCAGCAGGUGGCACAGACAGAUGCGGACUCCUCACUGCAGGUCACAAGGCAUGUUUUCAGAGACCAGCUGCGGUGAAGAUCAUCCAGCCCUUGGGCCCCUGAUCCGUUUGGAUACAGUUUCAAGCAUGAAUUUCUCCUUUGGUGGUUUGCUACAAAGAGAAGAGUUCUCAUGAUUUCUUUGGGGUGUUCAUCCUAUGAUUUUGGGGUGAGGAUUCGUGACAGAGACAAGCAACAGGAGUCCAGGAAGCCCUCGGGGGAGACGGGAAACAAGUCUUUUUGAAAAAACAGCUUUCUUUGAGACGUAGCUCACAUAUCAUAUGAUCCCUCCCCUUCCAGUGGACACGUCCAUGGCUUUCAGCGUGUUUAUAGAUGGGCAACAUCCCCACGGGCCCUUUUAGAACAUUCGCUUCACCUCAGAAAGAAACCCCACAGCUUUUAGCCAUCACCCUCCUCCCCAGGCCUAAGCAGUCCCUCAUCUGCUUCCGUCUCUGGGGACUUCCCUGUUCUGCGUUCUGUGUGACAUGUGGUUGUGUGUGAUUUAUGAUUGUGUGUAACAUGCGUUCCAUUUCAUCCAUGUGACAUGCGGUUGUGUGGGAGAUAUGAUUGUGUGUAACAUGCGUUCUGUAUGAUGUGCGGUUGUGUGUGAGAUACAGUUGUGUGUAACACACAUUCUGUAUGACGUGCAGUUAUGUGUAAGAUACGGUGUGUAACACAUGUUCCAUGUGACAUGUGGUUUGUGUGAUUUAUGAUUGUAACAUGCAUUCCAUGUGGUCCGUGUGACGUGGUUGUGUGUGAUACACCAUUGCAUGUAACGUGUUCCGUGUGAUGUGUGGUUGUGUGUGACACACCGUUGUGUGUAGCAUGUGUUCUGGCAGGCGGUCGUGUGUGGCUUCCUUCGCCGAGCACAGUGCUUUCACGAUGCCCCCGUGUUGGCGCGUGCCUGUGCCCCAUUCCUUUCUAUGCUGAAUGAUGCUCCCCAUGUGGGUGAACAUAUGGUGUUUGUCCAUCUGUCAGUCUGUGGACAUGUGAGCUGUCUCUGCCUUUUGGCUGCUGUGCACAAAGCUGCUGUGAGCUUUCCUGCAGUCUCUGUGUGGCUGUGUGUGUGUGUGGCUGUGUGUGUGGCUGUGUGUGUGUGGCUGUGUGUGUGUGUGUGGCUGUGUGUGUGGCUGUGUGUGUGUGUGUGGCUGUGUGUUUUUGCUUCUUUCAGGCUCACCCCUGGGGGUGGAGCCGCUGGGUCCUGUGGGUCAUGAUCAUGUGCGUCAUCUUCAGGAGGGUGCCAGGUUGUGCUCUGCAGUCCUAGGCAAGUGGAGGUGGUCCCGCUGCCAGCUUCAGCCUGAAGAGCAGGUGCUGAGUGAGGUGCUGAGCUUCCUGGUGUCCCUGCUGCACCCUGGUAGGCCAGCACCCCACCCACCAGAGCAGCUGUGGAGAGGACAGUGGGCAUGGUGGGGACUCCAAAUGGGACGCACACGGCCCCCAGGGGAGGCUCGGCUUGGGCACCCAGGCGGCCGGGGUAUCUCUAACCAGUGGCUGCCCAUGGGGUGAGUAGGGCCCUGCUGCCCCAUCAGAGCUUGUCCCACUGUGGCUGGCGAGGAGAUCAGCAAGGGCUUGAGGCCCAUUCUCGCAGCCUGUCCCCUGCCUGGGGUGGCCUGGCAUUCAGUGGUGGGGUCCCGGAAGCCCCGGUGCCGAGGCAGGUGUGCUCUGGCAGGCUUGAGCUGGGCCACCCUGGAGGCACCACUUGUCUUUGCGUUUCCCUCUCACCUGCUCCCUGGACAGGCCCUCUGCAUUUGAGGGCCUGUUUGUGUCCCCAGGGCAUCUCUGGAUGGGCAUGAGCACACAGGGACCCAGCACGUGGGUUCUGCACCAUCCAGCACUGUCCAUACAGGCCCUGGCAUGUCCUCCUGGCCUGUAAUUUUGUUCUGCAUGGCUUGGUUUUUGCACGAAGGGGAGCACAGUAUUCCUUUCUCAUCCUCCAAAAUGGAUUGCAAAUGUUCUGAGCUGUCACAUUGGCGAGAACGAAGCCCCUGCUAAUUGGCGCAUUUUCCUGCAACCACUCCAGGCUGAGUUCUAGAGGAAGCCUCUGCCUUUCUGUCUCACGUUGCGCACUUUCUCCCUGAAAUAUUUAAUGUGCUAAAUUCCAACUUCACACACAUCAGCUCUAAAGCCGACUAAUCAUUUAGCUUGAUUGUCGAACUGAAUUUGGCUCUGAGAUUUUAAAAUAAGAAAAAAAACUGUCAAGCUCUACGUAAGGCAGACACUAUGGCUGACUCUUCACAAGAAAAUAUCUUUCUUUCUUGAGGGAUUUGUGGCAGAGUCCAUCUUUAUGGAGAGUAGAAAUCGUUUUACCCACCAGGGCAGCAUAUAAAAUGUUAGGCAGAUGUUAAAUAUUGAUGUAGAAACUCAAAAUACUUUGUCUCUUUCCAGAAAUGAGCGUUUUGGUUUAAUUACUCUGAAUCUAAUGACUGUGGAAAAAACACAACACGUGUGCGUUCCGAACGGAAAACAUUUAGAUUAAGGAAGAAUUUCAGCUCCUCAAAACUGGGAAAGGAGCAUACUGGGCCUGUCCUGCAGUGGGGCUGCUUGCUGAUACUGACACGCAUGUGCGACUGGGUGCCCAUGCGUGUGCGUGCGUGUGCCGUGUGGAUGCCGUGUGCCCGUGCCUGCGCGUGCGUGUGCCGUGUGGGUGCCGUGUGCCCCUGCGUGCGCGUGCGUGUGCCGUGCGUGUGCCGUGUGGGUGCCGUGUGCGCGUGCGUGUGCCAUGUGGAUGCCAUGUGCCUUGCAUGUGCCGUGUGGAUGCCGCAUGCCCGUGCGUGUGCCAUGUGGAUGCCGUGUGCCCGUGUGUCCACGUGCGUGUGCCGUGUGGAUGCCGUGUGCCCGUGUGUGUGCCGUGUGGAUGCUGUGUGCCCGUGCGUGUGCCGUGUGGAUGCUGUGUGCCCAUGUGUGCCUUGCGUGUGCCAUGUGGAUGCUGUGUACCCGUGUGUGUGUGCAUGUGCCAUAUGGAUGCUGUGUGCCCAUGAGUGCUCAUGUGUGUGCCGUGUGGAUGCUGUGUACCCACGCGUGCGCGUGCUUGUGCCGUGUGGAUGCUGUGUACCCACGCGUGCGCGUGUGUGUGCCGUGUGGAUGCUGUGUACCCACGUGUGCGCGUGCGUGUGCCGUGUGGAUGCUGAAUUGCACUUUCAACGACGUGACCGUUCCUUCCUUGCAGGCCACCUCCGGAGGUGUUCACUGCCGGUGGCUGUACCUGGCCAUAGAUCUGGGGGCUGUGCUGCCCCAGGCAUCCCACCCUGUUCCAGGACACAGAGGCCAAUGCUGUUCCCCUGUUCCGGCAGGCGUGGGCUGCACGCCUGCUGGCAAGGGGCUCAGCUGGCCUGAGCCUGGGCCAGCUGUCCCUAGAGCAUCUGCUCCUGUGGGGAGGGGGCGUUUUGACAGCAUGGGGAUAAUUUUUUUCAUAAUUAAGAGUUUUUUUUUUAAGUGAAUAGACUUUAUUUUGUAGAGCAGUUUUUGGUUUACAGAGCAGGGAGCAGGUAGCACAGGGCAUUCCCUGAGCCCCCACCCACAGUGCCCUUAUGCCCGUCAUUUGCAUCGGCACUGGUGCCAGUCCAGGGCCUGUUAGGAACCAGGCCACACAGCAGGAGGUGAGAGGUGGGCAGGCAAAGCAUUACCACCUGAGCAUCACCUCCCGUCACAUCAGCGGCAGCAUUAGCUUCUCAUACGAGCAUGAAUCCUAUUGUGAACUGCCCAUGCCAGGGAGCUAGGCUCCGAGCUCCUCACGAGAAUCUAAUGCCUGAUGACCUGAGGUGGGCCAGUUUCAUCCCCAAUCAUCGCCCCCCCCAGCCUCUGGUCUAUAAGAAAAAUGUCUUUCAUAAAACUGGUCCCUGGUCCCUGGUGCCAAAAAGGUUGGGGACCACUGCUGCUGUUCCAUCAGUUUUGACAAAUGCACGAUGCCGUGUGUCCACCAUCACAGUAUCGUAUGGAAUCAUUUCACUGCCCUAGAAAUCCCUGCGCUCUACCAUUCAUGAUUUACUUGGACAAAAACACAUACGGCCACCAAGGAAAACAGCCAUAGUGAAGCAGAUGUCAAAAUAUCAACAAAGCAGAUGUGUGAGGGUGGCAGUGGCUGCAUUACACGUCGCACUGGAUAACAAAACCCAGCGUCCAGCAGCCCCUGAGUUUUAGAGGUGGAGGUGAGUGUGGACAAGUUUGAAAAACCUGCAACAACUGCAAAGUGAUACAAACACACCUGUGUUUUCUAUUUGAGAUAAAGCCCUGGGAUGGCUGGCGUUCCUCGUGGAAGGAAAUGCCAGAUUUCAGUCAGAGCUUAGUAAAAUAGAGAUGUUGCUUUUUCUCGUCCAAGUUCACAGACCCCAUGAAUGAAGCAUCCCUGCUCUAGGAAAGCACGGAAAGCUUGUGCAUCAGAGGGACAUAUGCCCACAGGGAUUGAAAAUGUGUUUUCAAAACAAGGUAUGUUGUUUGCAAAAUCUCCACCAUUACAAAUAGCCACGUAGGCUUCUGAUGGCUCUAUGUGCACAGCCAAUUCCGAGUGAAUUCAAUUAUUUCACAUUGACAGGAAACAGGUUAAUUAGGAGAAGUUGAUUAGGCUUUGCAAAAGGAGAUGUAAUUAAUGCCCAACCGCAUGCCAGGCACGACGGCUGCAUUUCAAUGUCUUCACAUGACUGAGAGAGUUACUGCCUGAGAGCUGGGAGACAGCAGGGGAGCAACCAGCAUGCCGGCGCCUGGGGUGUCCAGCAAGUGGCAGGGGGCGCUGCUGGCCCAAAAGGUUAGCUCAGGUGUGCCACGAUCCCCAUCAUCAUCAUCAUCACUAUCACCAUCAUCACACCAUCACUAUCACUGUCAUCACAAUCACCAUCAUCAUCACCACUAUCACUGUCAUCACUAUCAUCAUCACCAUCACUAUCACUGUGACCAUCACCAUCAUCACCAUCAUCAUCACACCAUCACUGUCACUGUCAUCACAAUCACCACCAUCAUCAUCAUCACUAUCACUGUCAUCAUUAUCAUCACCAUCACUAUCACUGUCACCAUCACCAUCAUCAUCAUCACACCAUCACUAAAAUGUCAUCGUCAUCACAUUCAUCAUCAUAUCACAAUCACUAUGAUCACCAUCACUGUCACCAUCAUCAUCAUCACAUUCAUCAUCACAUCACAAUCACCAUCAUCAUCACCAUCACUAUCACUGUCGUCAUCAUCAUCACAUUCAUCAUCAGAUCACAAUCACCAUCACUGUCACCAUCACAAUCAUCACCAUCACCAUCACAUUCAUCAUCACAUCACAAUCACCAUCAUCACCACCAUCACUCUCACUGUCAUCACAAUCACCAUCAUCAUCAUCACCAUCACUAUCACUGUCACCAUCACAAUCAUCAUCACCAUCACUAUCACUGUCAUCACUAUCAUCACCAUCACUAUCACCGUGACCAUCACCAUCAUCAUCAUCAUCACACCAUCACUAUAAAUGUCAUCGUCAUCACAUUCAUCAUCAGAUCACAAUCACUAUGUGACUGUCACCAUCACAGUGACUGUCACCAUCACCAUCACAAUCACCAUCAUCAUCACCAUCACUAUCACUGUCAUCACUAUCAUCAUCACCAUCACAGUCACUGUCACCAUCAUCACACCAUCACUAUCACUGUCAUCACCACCAUUAUCCCCAUCAUCUUCAUCUCAUCACCAUCACUCCACCUUCAUCACCUCAUCACCAUUACACCACCAUCACUGUCAUCACUGUCACCAUCACCAUCACCACCAUCAUCUUCAUCUCAUCUUCACCACCACCGUCUUCAUUAUCACCUCACACCACUGUCAUCACCUUUGUCAUUAUUGCUGUUGUCAUCACACUCCUCACAGCUUCCUCAUGCAUGCCUGUGUGCAAGGCUCUCUGGAAGGUGCUGGGCUGCUGAGGCAUGUUUCUGGAGGAACGGCUGCGGGCACCACACCACAAACAAGCCAUGUGGACCAGAUGUGGCCGGGACCUGGCCUGGCUCCUGUCUUGCAAGCCCCCUGCCUUGAGAAAUGGGGACUGUGUGGAUGAACACACGGGCUCGGUGGAGGGGAGAAUGCCGCCUUUGGAGAGGUAGGAGGGCUCCAAGCGGACUUCGAGGACAGGGAGCCUCAGCAGUGUGGCCCUGGCACUCUACCAGGCCUCAGGGUGUACCCUGGUGGGCUUCAGUCCAGGCCAGAGCAGCUGCGCAGUGUCCCUGCUCACUCCUCAUCCCCGGGCAUUCUCAGCUGUGCUCUCCCGCCCUUGCCCACUCAUCCCAUUUUCUGCCCCAAUUGUUUUGACUCCUUCCUCCAAGGACCACAGAUGUCCCCUUCCCUCUGCAUGGGUCCCAGAAUUUGGGGCCAGUCAGGCCUUAGCUCAGAGCAGGCACCCUGACCACCCAUCAAUCCCAGCAUGAGAUGCAGGAGGGAAGCAGAGCCAGAAGGCUGGGUGGCCUGUCCAGCGCUCCAGGGAAAGCCCAGCUCCAUCAGGCCAGGCUUCAAAUGUCAACCUGCAUCCAGCAGCUCAGCCUCUAAGUGUCCCCAACCCUUCCACAGUGGCCACUACCCACUCCACAAUGGAGCCUGGCUCCAGGCCGAGGGGCCAGUGGCAGCAGGGUGUGCUGGAGACCCCCCGUGAGAAGGACAGGGGUCAGCGGCCCUCCCCACCGUGACCUUUUAUAGUCCCCAUUCCAAGCCCAUCCUCCCUCCCUGAUGUCUGGGCCUCCCAGCACAGCCCCGUGCCCCACCAAGAGCCACAGAGGCAGCCCCCGUGCUCUGUCCCUGCAGCUUGGUAACCGUGGGGCAGCAUGGGCCCUCCCUCUGCACACCCAGCGCAUGCCUGGGUGCUCCCACCUGCCGGACCUGGCUGGCCUCCAUUCAAGUGGGGAGGCCCUGGGACCACACCCCAGAGUGCCUGGGAGGGCAGAGGUAGGCCUGCUGCCAACACAGGGCCUGGGAACGUGGUGCCUCAUCUGGCCCAGCCGGGGCCCAGAACAGCACCCUUCCUGGGAGAUCAGGCUCCAGUGUUGACCCCUUGCCCUGGCUCAUCGGCUCCUCCCGGCUGUGCCGGGAUUCCUGGCUCUUGGUCCCCAUCCACCCCUCCUCCCUGGCAAGCCAGGCUGCAGGCCCCACCUUCUCCCCAGCUCCUUCCUUCCUCCUGUGGCCCAUGCUGUCUCCAGGAGAGCAGGGGGCUCAGGAAGGGAUUCUGCCCGUGGGCACUGCUGACCUGGGCAGGCAGGGGCAGGGUGGGCUGCACUUCCUCCCAUCUCAGGACCUGGCAGGGGUGGCACAGCCCAGCUGCAGGGACUCUGGCGGGAGUGAGCUGCCCUGCCCCCACUGUGCCUCUCAGGGCCUGUCCCCCUCCCACCUGAGCCCUCCACUGGGCGUCUCUUCUGAAUCCAGUCCAUGCCCACUGGCUGCCUGUGCCCCAGGUUGGGCUUUGCGCUGGAGCUGCACCCCAGGCUCUGCAAAGCCACCAUGGUGACAGUGUUUCCAGGGAAACCACAGCAGGCUGCCAGGCAAGUGCAGGCGGAGGACACCCAGGUGGGAGGUGUGUGUCUGUGUGUGUGAGGGAGAGCAGGAAGGUGUGGCGCGUGUUCGUGGGUUGUGUGUCCAUGAGGUGGUGUGUAUGUGGGGGUACCCUUGAGAGCUUGUGUGUUUGUAGGUCAUUGUGGGGCACAUGCCUGAGGGUCCUGGGUGUGUGUGUCUGAGGCAGCUAAGUGUGUAUGUAUAUGUGCAUGUGUGAGCACAUGCGUGUCAGUGUGUGUGAGUGUGGGGGUCCAUGUGCAUCGGUGUGAUGUGUGCACAUGUGCCAGUGUGUGUGUUGGGAUGCAUGUUUGCAUGUGUGUGUCAGUCUGUGUUGGGGUGUCUGUGUCUAUGUGUGCAUGUGUUGGGGUAUCUAUGUAUCUGUGUAUGUGUGUGCGUGUGUGUAUAUGCUGAGGUGUUGUGUCUGUGUGCAUGUGUGUGCACACGUGUGUCAGUGUGUUGGGGUGUGUCUAUAUGUGCAUGUGUUGGGGUGUCUGUGUAUCUGCAUAUGUGUGCACACAUGUGUCUGCAUGUGCCUGUGUGGUGUCGUUGUGUCUCUCCGUGCAUGUGUGUGCACAUGUGUGUCAGCGUGUGUGCAUGUUGGGGUGUCACGUAUGUGUCCUGAGUGUGUUUCUGUGGGCCUGAGGGUCCCUGGUGGGCAACCUUGUCUACCCAGCACCAAGGAUCUGUGUCCCCAGCAACACUGCCGCUCCCCUCAGCCCAUCCCCCAGGGUCCCUGAGCCUUCAGGUAAACUCACCUUAGCCAAUGACAGCAGGCUUGUAGGGGCCACGCGGGCUGCGCUUGGACCUGUCCCAGAGCGUGAGGGUGCUGUGAUCCUCUGAGGGCCCGGCAGGCCUGGUGGGGCAGGGUCCCGAGAAGGAAGAUGGUGCCUUCAGAUCAUGGGGUGUUCCUUGAAGCUUCCUGUCCACCUCACCCCCGCACCCCACCCCUGCUCACCCUCCUCCUGGGGCUCAAUAGCAUCCCCUCCCCAGGGGCUCCUCCUCCCCACCAUUCUUGUCCCCUGAGGUCGCUGGGCCCCCAGCAGCUCAGGCUGGCCAUCUAGAAGGUGCAGGCCCCAGGACUGGACCCAGCUGGGCAAGGCCUGGGGUUCACUCUGAGGCCUGGGGCACCAGCCCCUCAGAGGCACCAAGGACAGAAUCAUUCUCAGGGCCAGGCCGUGGGGCACAGCUGCCCCCUGUAGCCCCCAACGCCCCAUCUGUCCACACAGGCUCAGCAGCUCCCACCUGCCUAGCUCUGUGGCCCCAAGGGCCCCUCCCCGUAGGGUCUGAGUGGCCCAAGGCAGGGCAAAGUCUCACCUUGCCUGGAAAUCUGGGAGGCUCCAAGGACCCCGAGCCUGCACCUCAUUCAUUCAUUCAUUCAUUCUGCCAUCAGCUCCUGUGGAGCUCUUGUCUGAGUUCCAGGCCCCGGGCCAUGUGCCAGGCCCCAGGGAAUCAAGACAGUCCAGGACAGGCCCUGGAGCAUCUCCCCAGCUCUCUCAGUCUCCUGGUUCAUCACAGAGGCCAGUGCCUUUGUUGGAGUGAGCAGCUGUGAGGGGCAGUUUGGGCAUGAAAGAAGGAACCAGCCACUUUGGAGCAUCAGGGAGGACUUCCUGGAAGAAGCCAUCUCUAAGCUGAUCCUCAAAGAGCUGAGAGCAAGCUUGGCGGGCUGUCACUGGAGAAGGAGAAAUAUUCUGGAGAGGGAGUGCAGAGUGUGCACGUCCCGAUGCAGAGAGGGACGCAGCGGGGAGCUCCUCUCUGAGACAGGGUCCCACGCCAGGCAGUGUGAGAAGCAGGGGAGGCUGCAGGCCAUGGUGGUUGGCCAGAGUGAGUGCCCAGCAGGGAUAGCCUGGGGGGCCUGGCAGGGGCUGUCCCAGGCAGGUCUGCAGCAUGGACCACGGCAGAACCCCAGGAGGCUCCUCAGUGAUGCAGGGUGGGGACAGGCUGUGCAGGCCACGGGUGGGAUGGAGCAGGUGCAGUGGCCCACCAACCACCCAGACAGCAGGGGGCCCCUCCCGCCGUGCCACACACAGGUUAGGCCUGGGUGAGGGCGGUGUGGAGGACAGACCGAGUCAAGCCCAGGUAGUUACGGAGCGUGUUUAGUGCGCCCUCGCUUCGUGUUCACCCUGUAACGGCCCAGGCCCCAGGAGAAGCAGCCCCGGGGGCUCCCGCCCUGCAGGCCCAGGGGAGGGCACCCAGCAGGGAGGCUGGAUCAGGAGGGGCUCAGCUCCCACAGGUCUGGGCACCGCCAGCAGAGCCCCCAAAGGACCUGGAUGCCCUAGCCCCAAGGGCAGGGGAGCAGCCACCCGGCAACAGGGCUGGGACACUGUGAGGGGCCUGCAGUGCUGGAGGUGCAGAUACAGCACCCCCAGGGAUGCUCCGGGGCAGCCCUUUUAGGCAGCAGAUGUGGCCACCACCCUGUGCCCAGCAGAGGCUGCCAAGCCCACCCGCCCUUAGCAGGAAGGGGGUCAGGACCUGGCCUGAGUGAGAGGGACGAGGAGAGAAGAGAGCAGUCAAUGACUGGAACGGACCCAGUGGCCUUCGUCCCACCUGGCCAGCACUGGCCCCUCGCCUCCCCUCCCCACACCCCAUGACCCCAGGGACAGGCCUGAUGUGGACAGAGUCCCCGAGAGAUGCACAUUUACAAGUUUGAUCCAGUGGAUAGAUUUUCCUCUUUGCUAAUCGGAACACGUCUGCUGUGGCUGCCGUAAUAGGCAAAUGAAACAAUUAAAACGAGCAGAAUGCACCCAGUUAACAUUUCAAACAAGAACGCUUUUCCCUUUAAGCUAAUACUGGACUGAAGACAAAAAGGAUGUCAGCUUGAAGCUGAUGAGAAUGAGUAGCUUUGCAGCUCCCCUGAGGCAGGCCUGGAGCUGAGUGCAGGCGGCAGCCCCUGCCCUCAUCCCCCUCGGCCCUGUGCUGGCCACGUGGGCGACCACGGGCACCCUCCUUACACCUGGGAUGCAUUUGUCUGCAGGUGCCCGCCGGCCCCUCCCUUCAAGCCUCACGGAAUUGAAACAAGGGGCUGCAGGAAUCGAUUCUCCGGCCGAAAGACUUCUCCAGUAAGGGAGCUUCCCAGGCUCCGUUUCACAGGAGCACCGGCUGGGGGAGGACCGGGAGGGCCUUCAUUAUGCAGUCAUUACAGAGUCUCAUCAAGCGCUGAUUCCACCUGCUUGAGAAGCCGACUUUUUUUUUUUUUUUUUUUUUUUUUUUUUGAGACAGCGUCUUGCUCUGUUGCCCACGCUGGGGUGCAGUGGUGCGAUCUUGGCUCACUGCAACCUCCGCCUCCGAGGUUGAAGCCAUUCUCCUGCCUCAGCCUCCUGAGUUGCUGAGAUUACAGGCACGUGCCACCACACCCAGCUAAUUUUUUUUGUAUUUUUAGUAGAGAUAGGGUUUCACCAUGUUAGCCAAGAUGGUCUCGAACUCCUGGCCUCGUGAUCUGCCCGUCUCGGCCUCCCAAAGUGCUGGGAUUACAGGCGUGAAUCACCACGCCCAGCCCAGAAGCCAGCCUUUCUUUGGUUCUGGAAGCAACAGCAGAGCCAUGACUUUGGUGGUGGAGACUGGUCUUUGUUCAAAUAAAUGUCACCACCCUGGACACUAGGCCGGGCAUAACAGACCACAAAGCCAGGUGGUGGCUGACCUGCAAGACCGUAGCCUCAGAGCUGCAGCUUCUCCCAGGGAGGGGCGCCUGGCAGUGCCUGCAAGGACGGAGACCCCGGCAGUGUCUAGGUCCGUGUCCCAUGCUGAGGGUGCACUGGGUGACGUGGGAGGCGGGCCCUGGUCACAUGCAUGGGCCCUUGACCACAUGCAGCUCGGUUGGCCCCAGCUGACUGUCCCCAUCCUGGAGACCCGCGGCAGCCUGAGAAGGGCCUCGGUGGUCAUCCUCGUCUGUUCCUUCUGCUAAAACAAAAUACCUCAGAGGGGGCAAUUUGUAACCAGAAUUUCAUCGCUCAGUUCUGGAGGCUGGGACGUCCAGGACCGAGGCCCCAGCAGAUUCAGCGUCUGGUGAGGGCUGCUUUCUGCUCUCUGCUCCCAGGACGGCGGCUUCUUGCUGUGUCCUCACCCAGUGGCAGGGACGGGAGGGUGGGGAAGGGCAACCAGGACCCUCAAAACUCUUAUGAGGCUACUGGUCCCAUUCAUAUCCUCCUCAUCUCCCAAAGCCCACCAGUGAUGCCAUCGCCUUGGGGCUUAAGUUCUAACAAAUGAAUCUGGGGGUGACAUCAACAUUCAGACCAUAGCAGCAGCUGUGAUGGUUACUUUUGUGUCAGCUCGACCAGGCCACGGUCCCCAGCUAUUUGGUCAAACACCAGUGUAGACGUCGCUGUGAGGGUGUUUCUUGGAUGAGGUUAAUAUUUCAAUCAGGAGACUUUGGGUAGAGCAGAGUACUGACCAUAUUAUAGCCUCAUCCAGGCAGUCCAAGGCCUUAAGAGAAAAAGACAGUUGUCCCCGAGGAAGAGGAAGUCCCGCCUCCGGACGGCGGCCCCUGGAGGAAGAGGAAGUCCCGCCUCCGGACAGCUUCCAAACAUGAGCCGCAGCAGGAGUGUCCCUGGGUCUCCAGCGGCCCUCAGGUGUCAGAUGAGCAGCUGCCACAAACACAUAAGCCAAUUCUUUAAAAUAAAUCUCUCUUGCACGCUCUCCCUAUGUAUAUAUUUACAUUUUAUAUAUAUAUACACACACUACAUGUAUACUACAUAUACACACUAUGUAUACACAUACAUACACUGUGUAUAGAAUAUAUAGGUAUGCAAUAUGCACAGACCAUAUACACUAUGCACACUGUAUAUAAUCUCUAUAUAUGUAUACUAUAUAUACACUAUACAUACACUGUAUAUAUCUAUAUGCACACUAUAUUACACAAAUAUAUGCAUACUCUAUAUUAAUGUACACUAUAUGCACACUAUGUAUACAUAUGCUAUCUCUAUAAUAUAUACACAUUAUAUGUGUACAUACACUAUAUAUACUCUGUAUGCAUGCUACAUAUACACUAUACACACACAGUAUAGUCCAUAUGCAUACACUAUAUACACACACUAUAACUUUACACACACACACUAUAUAUACUCUAUAUGCACACACUGUAUAUAUGCUGUAUAUGUGUGUACUAUAUGCACACUCACACUAUGAAUAUUCUAUAUAUGUACACAAUAUCAAUAUAUACCCUAUAUGUACAUGGUAUAUGCCCUAUAUGUCCACGGUAUAUGUCCUAUAUGCACAUGGCAUAUGGCCUAUAUGUACACGGGAUAUACCCUAUAUGUACACAGCAUAUGCCCUAUAUGUAUGUGCUAUAUGUCCUACACGUACACUGUAUAUACUCUACAUGUACAUAGUAUAUACCCUAUAUGAUGUACAUGGUAUAUACCCUAUAUGUACAUUGUAGAUACCCAAUAUGUACAUGGUAUAUGACCUCUAUGUACACGGGAUAUACC
rnacentral:lncRNA from 1 species